UUCUUCAGUCACAACCGGCAGGUUGCAAGGCAAGUAGAAAAAAGCAACUUUAAAUCCGAUGAUGGUUGCAAUCAUUGUGGAAACCAACCUCUCCCACGUAUACAAAUAUAUAAAGGAGUGCACAGAGAGCAUUUCCAACUUUAUUUCAUACAGAUUCAAGGAAAGAUAACAGCAAGGACGGAGGGAGAGAGCAUGAACAGACGACUGAAUGGGUAAAGUCUAAAUAAAACUCCAACAUGGUUGCUUUCAAACAUUCAAAUUCAAUUCAACCCAGAAUUUCUCAUUUUCAGAGGUAUGCAGGUAUGUAUGCCACAAUAUAUUAAUCAAACAUCUACAUUUUACACAGAAAAGCCAAUGUUGAGGGAAUGGAACAAUAAAUUAGAAAG
rnacentral:misc_RNA from 1 species